rnacentral:lncRNA from 1 species
AUGAGAUCACUAAGGAUGACCAUUCUGAGACUUGCAAUAUGGUGCCCACACUCUCAAAGAAAAAUACAUCAGCCCUGUAUGAUCCCUGAACUGGGUCCUAUAGAAACCUGGAAGCUCCAAACCUUGCCCCUGCUUGUGCCCAACAUUUAUUCCUGGUCUCAUGAAACCUGGAUCCACAGGUGGUGCUGGUACCAGACCUACGCAAUGCAGCGGCCACCUCAGCUGUGGAUAGUGAGACGGGCAGCCCCAGACAGCAACAAAACUGGCUGGCUGACGAGGAACCCAGUGAGCAGAGCUAUGCUUGGGAGUGCAGUAAAGGGUAACGAAGGAUGCAGCUGCUCCUUUGUUGCUUCCCCUCUGCCUUGCAGGUGGGCAUUCAGGCACAGACGGAACCAGAAAAGGAAAGAUGACCGUUCUCAGCACUGCAAAGUGGUGACCACACUGAAAGACAGGUCAGCCCUAGAGAACGAGAAAACUGGCUGUGUGACGAGCAACCGUGUGUGCAGAGCCAUGCUGGGGUGGGCAGGGGAGGGCUACAGGGCAGCCCUAGGAAGCGACAGAACUGGCUGGCUGAGGAGCAACCCAGUGAGCAGGGCCAUGAUGGUAGGUCCUGGGAGGGCAGGCAGCUCAAAGUUGUCCACAGAGACAGGCAGCUGCACUCCAGUCAUCUUAUCUGAUUGCAAUUUUUUACAGCAUUUAAAACAAAAUAAAUAACCCCCAAAAUCAAGUUUCUGAUUCAUGAAACCUUUUCUACUUCUCUCUUGUGCCAUUCUUAAAUGGGAAUCUUUCAGUGUGUUUUCCUUAUUUUCCUUUUUUUUUGUUGUCC